UACGGAGGGUGCGAGCGUUGUCCGGAAUUACUGGGCGUAAAGGGCGCGUAGGCGGCCGAUCAAGUUAGAUGUGAAAGUCCUGGGCUUAACCUGGGGACUGCAUUUGAUACUGAUUGGCUUGAAUUCGGGAGAGGAUAGCGGAAUUCCCAGUGUAGAGGUGAAAUUCGUAGAUAUCAGGAAGAACACCCGUGGCGAAGGCGGCUCUCUGGGACGGUACUGACGCUGAGACGCGAAAGCGUGGGGAGCGAACAGG
rnacentral:rRNA from 1 species